rnacentral:rRNA from 1 species
ACGACCAUAGGGUGUGGAAAACAGGGUUUCCCGUCCGCUCAGCCGUACUUAAGCCACACGCCGGCCGGUUAGUAGUUGGGUGGGUGACCACCAGCGAAUCCCGGCUGUUGUAUGUU